rnacentral:rRNA from 1 species
AGAGUUUGAUCAUGGCUCAGAUUGAACGCUGGCGGAAUGCUUUACACAUGCAAGUCGAACGGCAGCACGGGGCAACCUGGUGGCGAGUGGCGAACGGGUGAGUAAUACAUCGGAACGUGCCCAAUCGGUGGGGGAUAACGUAGCGAAAGUUACGCUAAUACCGCAUACGAUCUACGGAUGAAAGCGGGGGAUCGCAAGACCUCGCGCGAGUGGAGCGGCCGAUGUCAGAUUAGGUAGUUGGUGGGGUAAAGGCUCACCAAGCCAACGAUCUGUAGCUGGUCUGAGAGGACGACCAGCCACACUGGAACUGAGACACGGUCCAGACUCCUACGGGAGGCAGCAGUGGGGAAUUUUGGACAAUGGGCGCAAGCCUGAUCCAGCCAUUCCGCGUGCAGGAUGAAGGCUUCGGGUUGUAAACUGCUUUUGUACGGAACGAAACGGCGAGCUCUAAUACAGUUUGCUAAUGACGGUACCGUAAGAAUAAGCACCGGCUAACUACGUG